rnacentral:rRNA from 1 species
UACGUAGGGCGCAAGCGUUGUCCGGAAUUAUUGGGCGUAAAGAGCUCGUAGGUGGUGUGUCGCGUCUGCCGUGAAAGCCCGGGGCUUAACUCCGGGUCUGCGGUGGAUACGGGCAGACUAGAGGCAGGUAGGGGAGAACGGAAUUCCCGGUGUAGCGGUGAAAUUCGUAGAUAUUGGGAAGAACACCGGUGGCGAAGGCGGCUCACUGGCUCAUUACUGACGCUCAUGCGCGACAGCGUGGGGAUCAAACAGG